rnacentral:rRNA from 1 species
CCUACGGGUGGCAGCAGUGAGGAAUAUUGGUCAAUGGACGAGAGUCUGAACCAGCCAAGUAGCGUGAAGGCUGACUGCCAUAUGGGUUGUAAACUUCUUUUAUAUGGGAAUAAAAUGUUCCACGUGUGGGAUUUUGUAUGUACCAUAUGAAUAAGCAUCGGCUAACUGCGUGCCAGCAGCAGCGGUAAUACGGAGGGUCCGAGCGUUCUCCGGAUUUUUUGGGUUGAAAGGGCGCGUAGGUGGAUUGUUACGGAAGGUGUGAAAGGUUGCGGCUCAACCGUAAAAUUGCAGUUGAAACUGGCAGUCUUGAGUACAGGAGAGGUGGGCGGAAUGCGUGGUGUAGCGGGGAAAUGCUUAGAUAUCACGAAGAACUACGAUUGCGAAGGCAGUUCACUGGACUGCAACUGACACUGAGGCUCGAAAGUGUGGGUAUCAAACAGGAUUAGAUACCCGAGUAGUC